rnacentral:rRNA from 1 species
UAGUUGCCGUUCAGGGAGGGGCUCGCGUACCAUUAGCUCGUUGGUGGGGUAAUGGCCUACCAAGGCGACGAUGGUUAGCUGGUCUGAGAGGAUGAUCAGCCACACUGGAACUGAAACACGGUCCAGACUCCUACGGGAGGCAGCAGUGAGGAAUUUUGCGCAAUGGGGGAAACCCUGACGCAGCAACGCCGUGUGAGUGAAGAAGGCCUUCGGGUCGUAAAGCUCUGUCAAGUGGGAAAAAAUUCUUUCGAUUAAUAGUCGUAAGAAGUGAUGGUACCAUUAGAGGAAGCACCGGCUAACUCCGUGCCAGCAGCCGCGGUAAUACGGAGGGUGCGAGCGUUGUUCGGAAUUAUUGGGCGUAAAGAGCGUGUAGGCGGUAAGGUUAGUCAGAUGUGAAAUCCUUCUGCUCAACGGAAGAAGUGCAUCUGAAACUACCCGACUUGAGUACGAGAGAGGAAAGUGGAAUUCCCAGUGUAGAGGUGAAAUUCGUAGAUAUUGGGAGGAACACCCGUGGCGAAGGCGACUUUCUAGAUCGAUACUGACGCUGAGACGCGAAAGCGUGGGGAGCAAACAGGAUUAGAUACCCUGGUAGUCCACGCCGUAAACGACGGGAACUAGGUGUAGCGGGUAUUGAUCCCUGCUGUGCCGCAGCUAACGCAUUAAGUUCCCCGCCUGGGGAGUACGGUCGCAAGGCUAAAGCUCAAAGGAAUUAACGGGGGCCCGCACAAGCGGUGGAGCAUGUGGUUCAAUUCGAUGCAACGCGAAAAACCUUACCUGGGUUUGACAUCCUCUGACAGUCCCUGAAAAGGGAUCUUCCCGAUUUAUCGGGACAGAGUGACAGGUGCUGCAUGGCUGUCGUCAGCUCGUGUCGUGAGAUGUUGGGUUAAGUCCGCAACGAGCGCAACCCUUGUCUUUAGUUGCCAAUAUUAAGUUAGGCACUCUAAAGAUACUGCCUCGGUUAACGGGGAGGAAGGUGGGGAUGACGUCAAGUCCUCAUGGCCUUUAUACCCAGGGCUACACACGUGCUACAAUGGGCUGCACAAAGGGUUGCUACCUCGCGAGUGGAAGCUAAUCCCAAAAAGCAGUCCUAAGUUCGGAUUGGAGUCUGCAACUCGACUCUAUGAAGUCGGAAUCGCUAGUAAUCGUGGAUCAGCAUGCCACGGUGAAUACGUUCCCGGGCCUUGUACACACCGCCCGUCACACCACGAAAGUUGGCUGUACCAGAAGUUGCUGGGCUAACCCCUGAGCUUGUCGAAGGGGAGGCAGGCACCUAAGGUAUGGUUGAUGAUUGGGGUGAAGUCGUAACAAGGUAACCA